GUACCAUUUGGAUCUAUGCAAAAAUGUGUUUUUGAGAGGGUGUAUAUCCGGUUGUUGAUGCUACAAAUCUGUACUAUGGGGGCACAGACAUUGCUGGAUCAAAAAUGGUAUUUACAAAUGGAUCACAAGAUCCAUGGCGACAUGCAUCCAAGCAGGUGUCGUCUCCAAGUUUGCCAUCAUAUCUAAUCACUUGUGAUAAUUACGGUCACGGAACUGAUCUAAGAGGAUGCCCACAGUCUCCUUUAGUUCCUGAAGGUUGGCAGUGGGUUUGGGGAGAGCACACUGAAACUAGGAUCCAUCCAUGCUAACAGAAGGGCAACUAGGCAGGUUCGGUGACAUUUUACCUGCUCAAACAGCCGGUCUUCUUUCUCAAUUUACAAUCGCAAGAUCAGAUUAUUGAUUUCACUCAUCCCACCUUAUAAACGCACCAUUUAUCCCAACUAUAUGAUCUGAUGUCGAGAAAUGGAUACUUGGAUGCCAAGUUGAGGAAUGGGUCGGGCCCCAUUAAGCCCGUGUGCCCAUAAGCGUGCAAAUUUUCAGGUAAAGAACAAUAGAACAUAUAAAGUUUGUGAAUGUACAUUUUCGGAGCAUUAUGUGUAUAGGAGGCAAUAGAACAUAUAAAGUUUGUGAAUGUAAAUUUUGGGAGUAUUAUG